rnacentral:rRNA from 1 species
UACGUAGGUACCGAGCGUUAUCCGGAUUCACUGGGCGUAAAGCGCGUGCAGGUGGUUUGGUAAGUCGGGCAUGAAAACUCUUGGCUCAACUGAGAGACGCUGUCCGAUACUGUCAAACUUGAGGGUGUGAGAGGGAGGUGGAAUUCCGCAUGUAGUGGUGAAAUGCGUAGAUAUGCGGAGGAACACCAGUGGCGAAGGCGGCCUCCUGGCACACUCCUGACAUUCAGACGCGAAAGCUAGGGGAGCGAACGGG